rnacentral:rRNA from 1 species
GGCUGAAAUUCGCCUUCCAUGAAGCUGGAAUUGCUAGUAAUGGCAGGUCAGCAUACUGCCGUGAAUACGUUCCCGGGCCCUUGUACACACCGCCCGUCACACCAUGAGAGUUGGGAAUACCCGAAGCCUGUGAGCUAACUGUAAGGAGGCAGCAGUCGAAGGUAGAAUCAAUGAUUGGGGUGAAGUCGUAACAAGGUAGC